AUUGAACGCUGGCGGCAGGCCUAACACAUGCAAGUCGAACGUGGGACGGACGGGUGAGGAAUGUCUGGGAAUCCGCCCGAUAGCGAGGCAUCAGUCCUGGAAACGGUUUCUAAUCCCGCCUAAUAUCCGCUUUCCCCAUACGGGAUUAGCUGGUAGGUCAGGUAAUGGCUUACCUAGGCGACGAUCCCUACCUGGUCUGAGAGGAUGAUCAGCCACACUGGGACUGAGACACGGCCCAGACUCCGACGGGAGGCAGCAGUGGGGAAUAUUGCACAAUGGGCGCAAGCCUGAUGCAGCCAUGCCGCGUGUAUGAAGAAGGUCCGAGGGUUGUAAAGUACUUUCAGUGGGGAGGCGUUACCGACAGAAGAAGCAACGGCUAACUCCGUGCCAGCAGCCGCGGUAAUUC
rnacentral:rRNA from 1 species